UACAGAGGGUGCGAGCGUUGUCCGGAAUCACUGGGCGUAAAGGGCGCGUAGGCGGUUUUUUAAGUCGGGGGUGAAAUGCUGCGGCUCAACCGCAGCGCUGCCUUCGAGACUGCAAGACUGGAGCACGGUAGAGGCGGAUGGAAUUCCCGGUGUAGCGGUGGAAUGCGUAGAGAUCGGGAAGAACACCAAUGGCGAAGGCAGUCCGCUGGGCCGUUGCUGACGCUGAGGCGCGACAGCGUGGGGAGCAAACAGG
rnacentral:rRNA from 1 species